UACGUAGGGGACCAAGCGUUGUUCGGAUUUACGUGGCGUAAAGGGCGCGUAGGCGGCCAGGUAGGUCGGUUGUGAAAACUGGAGGCUCAACCUUCAGAGGUCGACCGAAACCAUCUGGCUAGAGUCCGGAAGAGGUGAGUGGAACUCCGAGUGUAGAGGUGAAAUUCGUAGAUAUUCGGAAGAACACCAGUGGCGAAGGCGGCUCACUGGUCCGGUAUUGACGCUGAGGUGCGAAAGCGUGGGGAGCAAACAGG
rnacentral:rRNA from 1 species